rnacentral:sRNA from 1 species
UGACCGUUCCCAAGAAACCUGGGGGAGUAAGGCCAUACGGACAGCCGGGUCAAAUGCCGU